ACAGCAUGGUGGGAUUCCGAGGUCCUCCAGCCCCAUUUUGAGGUCCUCCAGCCCCAUUCUGAGGUCCUCCAGCGCCAUUUUAGGGUCCUCCAGCCCCAUUUUGAGGUCCUCCAGCCCCAUUUCAAGGUCCUCCAGCCCCAUUUUCAGGUCCUCCAGCCCCAUUUCGAGGUCCUCCAGCCCCAUUUUUCGGUCCUCCAGCCCCCAUUUUAGGCUCCCCCACCCCCCUUAUCGCAUUCCCACCCCAUUUCCCCCCAUUUCCCACCCCACAGCGAGGUCGACAUCUGGUUCCCCUUGGUGGAACAACUCGAGGUCCCCACAGCCUGGUGGGAUUCCGAGGUCCUCCAGCCCCAUUUUGAGGUCCUCCAACCCCCUUUUAAGGUCCUCCAACCCCAUUUUAAGGUCCUCCAACCCCAUUUUCAGGUCCUC